CCUACGGGUGGCUGCAGUGGGGAAUAUUGCGCAAUGGGCGAAAGCCUGACGCAGCGACGCCGCGUGAGGGAUGAAGGUCUUCGGAUCGUAAACCUCUGUCAGCAGGGAAGAACGUUCACUGAGCUAAUCAGCAGUGAAUUGACGGUACCUGCAAAGGAAGCACCGGCUAACUCCGUGCCAGCAGCCGCGGUAAUACGGAGGGUGCGAGCGUUAAUCGGAAUGACUGGGCGUAAAGCGCUCGUAGGCGGUAUGUCAAGUCAAGGGUGAAAUCCCCGCGCUCAACGUGGGAACUGCCUUUGAAACUGGCAAACUAGAGUGUGUGAGAGGAUAGUGGAAUGCCAGGUGUAGGGGUGAAAUGCGUAGAGAUCUGGAGGAACAUCAGUGGCGAAGGCGACUAUCUGGCACAUAACUGACGCUGAGGAGCGAAAGCGUGGGUAGCAAACAGGAUUAGAUACCCGAGUAGUC
rnacentral:rRNA from 1 species